UAAAUGCAAAGGUACAAAGAGUAACUGAUAAGUGUGUUUGAACAAUGAUAGUUGUUCACAUUAGGCAUUUGCGUAGGUACUGUGUGCAGUUGCAACCCCCACUCAUAUGUGUGAAUUGAAUCUACUUCCUUUUCUUCCUGUUCAAAUAUAGGGUAAAAAUAAUGUUUAAUUUUUUAUUCAACCCAACAGAUUUUUUUUGUUGGAAUCAAGUUCAAGACAUGUCUUUUGCUGAUUGUGCCAGUAGAGCUGCAAGAGUGGUGGACAUGCAACACAGGGAGGUGAAAGAAGGGAGGAUCAGGAAGGAUGGAGGGAGGUGACAAAGCUGGGAGAAAGGAGGGAGACAUCAAGGAAGGUGGCAUGGGAAGAAAGUGAAGUUGUGGCCCAAGGCUAGAGUGUGAUCGUGUAAAAUUGUUACCUUUCCAUCAAUGCUCAGGUUCAUUGUCAUUUUUAAAGUCUGGCACUUGAAGAUCUACACAAUUGUUGUCGAGGAAGAUGAUAAACUCAAUGAGGAUGAUAAUUGGGGUUAUUGUGAAGCUCGAUGUUUGGUGGAGUACUCUCGCGGUAAAGAGGACAAGGCAUGCAAACAUGAGUAACCGAUAGGUUUGUGUAAUCACUUCCAUUUUUUCUAGGAACAUUGAAUAUAAUUGAUUUUGUAAAGAAAGCGGUAGAGAAGACUGUACUUUUGGACCUUCAGGUGAAGCGGGAAUUAUAUCAUUGUGAUAUCAAAUAAUUGUUCAUUGAUUGUUUGAAUGAGUUGUUGACAUAUGAUUAAUGUAUGAUAAAUUUGCGUUGUGAAGUAUGUGUAUGAAUCAAGUAUCGCCCACUUCUUUGAUUUUAUCGGUUUUGCUAAAUCUCAAUGUGUCUGAAUUUUUGUUGCCGUGUCACUGACUUUUUGCUUUGCACGAGGCCGAAGACGGGGAUGACAUGAGGAGAGCCAACCACAGCGAGGCCGAGCCAUGUACAAGCAGGAGCGAGUCUGAAACUUAAC
rnacentral:lncRNA from 1 species